rnacentral:tRNA from 1 species
UCUAAUAUGGCAGAUAAGUGCGGUAGAUUUAAGCUCUACACAUAAAGUCAAAAUCUUUUAUUAGAA